UACGGGGGGGGCAAGCGUUGUUCGGAAUUACUGGGCGUAAAGGGCUCGUAGGCGGCCAACUAAGUCAGACGUGAAAUCCCUCGGCUUAACCGGGGAACUGCGUCUGAUACUGGAUGGCUUGAGGUUGGGAGAGGGAUGCGGAAUUCCAGGUGUAGCGGUGAAAUGCGUAGAUAUCAGGAGGAACACCAAUGGCGAAGGCAGCACUCUGGGACGUGACUGACGCUGAGACGCGAAAGCGUGGGGAGCAAACAGG
rnacentral:rRNA from 1 species